CCCACCCUAGAAUAAACCCAGGGUAGCCCUGGACCAUCCCCAGCUCAAUCAAACCUUUGUCAGCAGUGACCAAAAGAAAGCCCGGGUUUUUUUUCCAGGGGUGAUGUUUGAGAAUGAUGUUUGAAACUCACCAUCCUGGGCAUUUUCCCACCUUGCUUUGGAAAAAUCCAGCCAUCCUAUCAUCAUCCUAUCAUCAUUUUAGUCUUAGGAUCAAUAGCAACGGACUCCACAUGCAGAGGAUAUGGGCCUUUGGGGGAACAAAGGCAGUCAGUAGACUAUUGUCAUGGUCAAGUAAGAGCUACUGUGGGCCCACAUAAGGGCAGUGGAGUAGGGAUGGAGGGAUGGUGACAGAUUUGACAAAUGCUUAGGAGGUAAAGUUGGU
rnacentral:lncRNA from 1 species